GACGCGCUCCCGACGAUUUCAGUCGCGGGGGAAAGGGGACUAGAUCGCAGCGCCGAUUUCUGCCGCUGGCUCGGUUCUGGAGCAAGCAGGGGUGCCUGUAGCAGCGUCGAGGUGGGGUGCGGCAGGAGGGAGGCGGGAGAAGCGGUGGUAGUGAGCGUCGAUGUGGAGCAAGGAUGCAACCUCAUGGUGGGUAUCGAUGUGGAGCAAGGAAGCAUCGAUGUUUGAGCAGGGCCAUGUCCUGGUGGUGGGCAUCGAUAAUAUUCUAGCUGAUCUUCAGACAAAGUGAGGAGAGAAAGUAGCAGAUUGGAGAACCUUUGGACCAUUGGUUACAGCAAGGAACGGGGAACGAUUGUUGUGUUCUAUAAAUGGUGGCUGCUGGUUGAUGUCAAAUUAACUCUUGCAAUGGUCUAAUCUACUAGAUCCAUGACUUUUCGUGGUCUCUUGUCUGUUUAUUCUAUUUCUUGGGUGGCUCUGGAUAUUUUGCUCUCAAUGGGAUCAAUGUAGUUAGCAUGGCAGGGGAAGUUGCUUCAAGGCUGUUAAACAGAGGAGAGUAAGUGGCCAGACGGGACGAGGACGAUCUCCAUCAGUAGUAGUCGUCAACGACGGCAGGUCCAGAUGGGUCGAGCCAGCAGUAUGUUCCCCAAAUCUACUCAUGUGACCAUUGGAACAAAGAUGUUCAGGAACUUGUUUUUCCAUCAUAGGCUUGAGAAGACCAAGUUUCCAAAAUCUGCUGAUGUGACCUUUGCAACAAAGAUGCCCUGAAACUUCCCAUCAUAGGCUUGUCAUUUUUAGACUUAGCUUGUACCUUAUCUAUACAUAUUUCUUAAGUCUUUUUUCCGUUAAUACGGCCAACAAUCUAUGUGGUUGCAUACCAUCUGUUUAUUAUAAUGCCUGUGCCAUACAUUGUGUUCUGUUAAUGUGCUCAUGUUCCUUUUAUGAAUUAGUAGAAAGUUCCUUUUAUGAA